rnacentral:misc_RNA from 1 species
UUCCACUAACCAUCUAAAGGCAAGUUGGAUUGCUUGAAUAAGCAACUUCUGGAAUUCAAAGGCUGGUUUAAAAAUUCAAAAAAAAUUUUAAGUGAAUAAAUGAAAUGCAUUAUAUGCAACUAAGUAUGCAUAACUAAGUAUAUGAAGCUAUAUGCAAGUGUAUAUAUGUGAAUAUGUACAAGUAUGAAGUAAUGAAUGAGUAUGUCACUAUAUGCAAGUGAAAAAAGGAAAAAUAAUUUUUGCAA